ensembl:lncRNA
CCCGCAGCCCCCAGCCCGCUUCCGCCUCGACGCCAGGAGGCUCCGGACUCGCCUGCCCGCGGCCUCCGGGCAGGUUUGUACCAGAGGACGAUAAAAUCCGUUGAGCAGACACACGCCCCUCCACUAUUGGCUCUAGGAGGGAAAAGCCCAGAAGAAACUCUCACCUACUCACACUCGACCACGCUGCUCAGGGCGCCGGCGGUGUGGGUGCUCUGGAAUUUCUCGCCCCUGAAUCUCCACUGGACACGAAAGCCGCUGUUAGGGUAAGACCGGAACCUCGACUCCAGGAAAUCUCGUCCUUCCGCCCCAGAAGAGGAGCCUGGGCCUCAGAUUCCAGCGUCUGAGGAGACCCCCCCAGGUCCUCACCCUUUGCCGCCGGCCGGGCUCCUCCGGGUCGAAGGUGAGACUCGCAGCAGCAACUCCGAGUCCGGACCCUUGGUCUCCCCUUGGACCUGCGCCAACGAGGAGAUGCCCCCCCCCCGCCCCCGGACGUGACCAGAUGGAAACACGUUCAUUCCCUUCUGCUCCGGAGAAAUAUUUAGUCAGGAGCCCCAAGGACGUCUUACGUAGUGAAAAUAUUCGCCGCCAAAUCAUAGUUUGGGAACUUAGGAAAUACAACUUAUGCAAAAAAAAAAUGUGGGGAGGUCCACUUGAAGGCGGCUGAGGAAAGGCGGGAAGAAAGAGGACGCGGUAGUAGAAGGAGACAGGAAGGAACAAGGAGACUCUUAAGAGGACAAGGAGCCCAGAGUUGGUGGGAUGCUUCGGCAGUGGGUUUGGGAGAGCGAGGCUCCACUUGUGGAACGUUCCCAGGCAUGAUUUGACUAUCUUUUUGAUGCCACGAGCAUUCUGGCUCUACCAAGAAGGCCGGAAAUAGGUUUGUCUGGAGUUUAUCCUUGAAAUUUUUCUUUUUAUCAUUUGGGGGUGGGGGUGGGAUGAGGAGGGUUCAGGGUAGGCCGGUAAAUAGACUUGCAAAUUCUUAGGAAUAAAGUCAGGACCUUGUUGAAUUCUUUGGGGUUAACUGGCAUGUAGCAUUCUUUGGGAAAUGUUUAUAUUCUUGAGCGCCCAUGCCCUUUUCCAGUGUUGCCAUGAGCUGUGGUGUAGGUCACAGAUGCGGCUCAGAUCCCGCGCUGCUGUGGCUGUGGCAUAGGCCGGCGGCUACAGCUCCGAUUAGACCCGCAGCCGGGGAACCUCCAUAUGCCAUGGGUGCAGCCCUAAAAUAGCAACAAUCAAACAGUUAAUGUAAUAAUCGACCUACCAAACUAUAAUACAAAUAUAUUGGAGGAUAAGGCAAGGGGAGGUGUGUGUGUGUGUGUGUGUGUGUGUGUGUGUGUGUGUGUGAGUGUGUGUAUGUUAGUGAUGUAAGGAGUAAAUGAAAGAAACAAUGCCUAAAAUUUGAAAAUCAAGGAUUAGAAAUAAUUAGGAAUAAGAGCAUAAACAAGUCAUUGGUUACAUGUGAUGAAAAUUUGUGGGAGUACAUCAGGGGAUUUCUGUUUUUCUAAACAAAUUUAUGAGCAUAUAUAACUGAUAAACAUAUACCCUAAAUCAAAAUAAUUCCUUUGCC